UACGUAGGGUGCAGGCGUUAAUCGGAAUUACUGGGCGUAAAGCGUGCGCAGGCGGUCUUUUAAGUCAGAUGUGAAAUCCCCGGGCUCAACCUGGGAAUUGCGAUGGAGACUGCAAGGCUAGAAUCUGGCAGAGGGGGGUAGAAUUCCACGUGUAGCAGUGAAAUGCGUAGAGAUGUGGAGGAACACCGAUGGCGAAGGCAGCCCCCUGGGUCAAGAUUGACGCUCAUGCACGAAAGCGUGGGGAGCAAACAGG
rnacentral:rRNA from 1 species